rnacentral:rRNA from 2 species
GAUGAACGCUGGCGGCGUGCCUAAUACAUGCAAGUCGAACGAGUUCUCGUUGAUGAUCGGUGCUUGCACCGAGAUUCAACAUGGAACGAGUGGCGGACGGGUGAGUAACACGUGGGUAACCUGCCCUUAAGUGGGGGAUAACAUUUGGAAACAGAUGCUAAUACCGCAUAGAUCCAAGAACCGCAUGGUUCUUGGCUGAAAGAUGGCGUAAGCUAUCGCUUUUGGAUGGACCCGCGGCGUAUUAGCUAGUUGGUGAGGUAAUGGCUCACCAAGGCGAUGAUACGUAGCCGAACUGAGAGGUUGAUCGGCCACAUUGGGACUGAGACACGGCCCAAACUCCUACGGGAGGCAGCAGUAGGGAAUCUUCCACAAUGGACGCAAGUCUGAUGGAGCAACGCCGCGUGAGUGAAGAAGGCUUUCGGGUCGUAAAACUCUGUUGUUGGAGAAGAAUGGUCGGCAGAGUAACUGUUGUCGGCGUGACGGUAUCCAACCAGAAAGCCACGGCUAACUACGUGCCAGCAGCCGCGGUAAUACGUAGGUGGCAAGCGUUAUCCGGAUUUAUUGGGCGUAAAGCGAGCGCAGGCGGUUUUUUAAGUCUGAUGUGAAAGCCCUCGGCUUAACCGAGGAAGCGCAUCGGAAACUGGGAAACUUGAGUGCAGAAGAGGACAGUGGAACUCCAUGUGUAGCGGUGAAAUGCGUAGAUAUAUGGAAGAACACCAGUGGCGAAGGCGGCUGUCUGGUCUGUAACUGACGCUGAGGCUCGAAAGCAUGGGUAGCGAACAGGAUUAGAUACCCUGGUAGUCCAUGCCGUAAACGAUGAAUGCUAGGUGUUGGAGGGUUUCCGCCCUUCAGUGCCGCAGCUAACGCAUUAAGCAUUCCGCCUGGGGAGUACGACCGCAAGGUUGAAACUCAAAGGAAUUGACGGGGGCCCGCACAAGCGGUGGAGCAUGUGGUUUAAUUCGAAGCAACGCGAAGAACCUUACCAGGUCUUGACAUCUUUUGAUCACCUGAGAGAUCAGGUUUCCCCUUCGGGGGCAAAAUGACAGGUGGUGCAUGGUUGUCGACAGCUCGUGUCGUGAGAUGUUGGGUUAAGUCCCGCAACGAGCGCAACCCUUAUGACUAGUUGCCAGCAUUUAGUUGGGCACUCUAGUAAGACUGCCGGUGACAAACCGGAGGAAGGUGGGGAUGACGUCAAAUCAUCAUGCCCCUUAUGACCUGGGCUACACACGUGCUACAAUGGAUGGUACAACGAGUUGCGAGACCGCGAGGUCAAGCUAAUCUCUUAAAGCCAUUCUCAGUUCGGACUGUAGGCUGCAACUCGCCUACACGAAGUCGGAAUCGCUAGUAAUCGCGGAUCAGCACGCCGCGGUGAAUACGUUCCCGGGCCUUGUACACACCGCCCGUCACACCAUGAGAGUUUGUAACACCCGAAGCCGGUGGCGUAACCCUUUUAGGGAGCGAGCCGUCUAAGGUGGGACAAAUGAUUAGGGUG